rnacentral:rRNA from 1 species
AUACGUAGGUGGCAAGCGUUAUCCGGAUUUACUGGGUGUAAAGGGCGCGUAGGCGGGGGUGCAAGUCAGAUGUGAAAUCUAUGGGCUUAACUCAUAAACUGCAUUUGAAACUGUAUCUCUUGAGUGCUGGAGAGGUAGACGGAAUUCCUUGUGUAGCGGUGAAAUGCGUAGAUAUAAGGAAGAACACCAGUGGCGAAGGCGGUCUACUGGACAGUAACUGACGCUGAGGCGCGAAAGUGUGAGGAGCAAACAGGAUUAGAUACCCUGGUAGUCCACACUGUAAACGAUGAAAGCUAGGUGUAGGGGGUAUCGACCCCUUCUGUGCCGCAGUCAACACAAUAAGCAUUCCGCCUGGGGAGUACGGCCGCAAGGUUGAAACUCAAAGGAAUUGACGGGG